UACGUAGGGUGCGAGCGUUGUCCGGAAUUAUUGGGCGUAAAGAGCUCGUAGGCGGUGUGUCACGUCGGCCGUGAAAACCUGCAGCUUAACUGUGGGCGUGCGGUCGAUACGGGCAUCACUGGAGUUCGGCAGGGGAGACUGGAAUUCCUGGUGUAGCGGUGAAAUGCGCAGAUAUCAGGAGGAACACCGGUGGCGAAGGCGGGUCUCUGGGCCGAUGACUGACGCUGGAGGAGCGAAAGCAUGGGGAGCGAACAGG
rnacentral:rRNA from 1 species